rnacentral:tRNA from 1 species
GCUGGUGUGGCUCAAUGGUAGAGCAGCGGUAUCGUAAAUCGCAGGUUGGGGGUUCGAUUCCCUUCACCAGCUCCA